ensembl:lncRNA
CUUAUACAGAUAAGUCUCAAGAACUAACCUCAAGUGAUAUGUACUCUUCAUCUGCUGGACAUGGUGGUACAAACCUGUAAUCAUUGCCCUUGGGAAACUGGGGCAGCAGGAUGAAGAGUUCAAGAUAAGCUCAGAUAUUAUACGGAGUUCAGAACCAGGCAGAUUAUAUAGUGAAAUGCUCUCCUAAACAACAACAACAACAGCAAAACAUUUGAGUACCUCUACACAAAACGGAUACUGGUAAAAUUUUGUUGAGUAAAAUAUACCGCAUUUAAUAAUAUCCAAAGGUUUGGCUAAUUAAAUAAGACUUACCAGUAAAUAGGCAGCCAAACAGUGUAUCGCCAGUAAGGUAUUUUAUAUGCAGUGUUUUUACCCAAGUCUAUAGUCACAUAAGUAAUUUGAUCUAAUUUAUACAGAUAAGCAGUCACUUUCAAAACUAACUCACUCACCAUAGUAAACUCUAGUCUGACUUCAGAGCCACGGGUUUUCUACCACACCAUGCAGUACAUCAGGAAAAGAAAUUUUGUUUUUAGUAUUCUUGGGAAGCCAUUAGGGUUCAUCAGAGGUACACUAGAAAGGGGUGAGGGGAGAAUGUUAAAGAGAGGUUUCAAGGGAUUGGCUCAAGAUUGCCAAAGCUGAGGUCUGGAGAAUAGAUAGACAGACAGACAGUAAUAGUGGACUUUGCAUUCUGGGAUCUGAAACCAAUAACAGAAAACUGCCGGACUGAAAAGAGAGGCAGGAUUUUUAUGCUGGAGUCUUCAGAAAGAAAGCCUAAAUCUUUGCUCUUAAACCCUUUAACAGAAGAGACAAGGCCCAGCCACUUUGAAGAAGAAAAUCUGCUUAAAAUCUACAGAUUAUAAGUGUUCGCAGCAUCUUCACCUUUGUUGGGCCAAACAACUGGAUGUUACAGCCUAACGAACACAUAAAAUGAACCACCACAGAGAGAAACUUUAAACUUAAGUAAUGAAAGAAAUCCCAUUACCUAAAGCAACAACAACAAAAGGAAGUCAAGGUUCAUACAAAGGAUUCUUUUAUACUCUUAAAUGCAAGUAUAUUUUACACGAUAAUAUAAUAUAGUAGAAUACACUAGACUUGCAUGUUUAAAAAGAAUGUCCUCUGGAUAUGCAGACUUACAGCAGUUUAACAUGAUCAUGGAACAUAAUCCAGCAUAUUUUAACUAAAUCAGAUGAUUCUAAAAUUGCCCAAAGUAGAUGGUUAGCACAACGCUCUUAUGAGAUGAAAAAAACAAAGUGAAUACGAAUAUGGAUCAAAGAAGCAGAAUCACUGAAAGUGGUGCAAAAGGAAUUUAUUAUAGAGAUUUGUUAUUAUAAUACAGGCUUUCUUAUGGAGAAGCUGGUGUGGUCAGGUUAGGGAGGAAUGAUUACAGGCUUAUAGAAAAGCCACUAACGUGGGAGCAGGGAGGGAAACUGGUAAAGAGUCUUAUGAAAGCCUUCAGCUUCAAUGUCUGGUAGUGAGUGUGAAGUCACUAGUCAGUGAAAAGAAGUAAGAGGCUUGGACACGUGAUCUAUGAGAAAAAAAAAAUGGAACCCUUGGUUUUUCCUCACUGUGCCUUACCCCAGUGACCCAGAAGAAGCUGGUACUGUUAGCCAUGGAGCUAGUGCUGGAUACAGAGAAGCUAGAGAUACUGCAAGCCUGGGCUACUACUACUUAACAUGAGGCAAACUGACAGAAUAAGACAUGUGUACAAGUUGCCACAAUACUAGAAUGUUCAUACUCAGUUUGCCUUCGGGAAAUGACUUCGCCGGGAAGGUUCCUUGCCUUAAUGAACUGACCCACCUUUCCUGAGUAGUCUAUUCAUAGAGAGUAUUAUAGUUUACCCACAGAGUCUAUGAGCAGUACCAAGAACAGUCCUAAAGUCUCCUGCGUUUCUUCUUCGGCUGUGUUGCUAUUUAGUUGGCUCAAUCACUCCAGAUAGUAUAAUCAUUCCUUCCUGGCUUUGAGAGUUAACUAGGAGUCCAGAAUGGCCAAGUGGCAGUCUCAACUUCCAAUGUAACUGAAUAUAAGCCCCAGUAGGGAAUUCUCUUCUAGAGUAUUCAGAGGGAGCAAGAAUUCAACUUUGGAUUUAUAGUUUUCAUAACAACGAGGAAUUAAAACACCUGCUGUUUUUGGCACCUAGGUUAUAGCCAUUUGUUAUAGCAGCCCUGGGAGACAUACAGGAAUGAUACUCAGUUCUGAUGCUGGGUCAGAACAGAUUUUAAGAUUCUUCUAGAUUCAUUUCUCUGUGCCAGCGUUAAUAGUGUCCCCUGCUCAUGACAGAGCUGCUGCACAUACACUCACUGCAUUGGAGGCUGCCUGUCCAAGACCAGCACAUGAUCAAGC